rnacentral:lncRNA from 1 species
AACAGCGUCAGGAUCAUCACAAAGGAACUACCUGUCCGAGAGUUCUGCAAAGCCUGUGUCAGUCCUGUGAGGCACCUCUUGCUCUGGCUCUGACACUGCAGACCCCCUCCAGGACUGCUUUGAGUUAUCAACACAAAGCGUGAAAACCCUUUGUGAUGAACCAUGUAUGUCAGUGCAAGACUUCCAUAAUGCCAUCAAGAUGCUCCCACCAGUAAUGCAAUGCAUCAUGCCUGUGGUCUGCAUGGAAGGAAACGUACCUCUCCACGCCUGUUACCCUGUCCUGGGUGCCACUUCUCCAUGCCCGUUCCCUGCCUCUCUGCGCCAUCUGCAACACAGUGGGCUGCUGCUGCCUGCCUUGGCUGCGGGUGGUCAUGAUGCCAUACACACAAGUGAGAGCUGGUGCAUGCUCAGUUGUGCCUAUCUCCAGUGAGGGCUGUGAAGAUGUGAGCACCCCUUCUAUCAGGGCUGGAGGAUGGAGCACCACAUUGCUGCUUCACAGCCACAUGGACACAGGCAUGCUGUAUGGGCCCACUAAAUUAAAUCUGCACUUCAUGGUUUUUUUUUGUUUGUUUGUUUGUUUUUUUUAAAGUAAAAUUCCCAUGGACGAAACCUUAGGGGCUACCAAGGAAUAGAAAAGCUGCAGCAGAUGUGCGAGCAGCCGUCCUGUCCACAGGGGUUUGGGGCAUGCCUUGGCCAAGGAGUCAUGCUGGCUUUCAAGACCUGCAUUGGACACCCAGG